rnacentral:rRNA from 1 species
UCUUGGUAGUAAAAUAUAUCCACCUGAGUAUUAUGAAUAAAAUAUUUAAAACUCAAAGGGCUUGGCGGUGUUUUAGAUCUUUUAGGGGAACCUGUCUUAUAAUCGACAAUCCACGUUAUACCUAACCUUUUUUUGUUUAAUUUGUAUACCAUCGUCGUCGGGUAACUUUUAAAAUUUUGUUUACAAAAAAGUAAUAAUAAACUUAAAUGUCAGAUCAAGGUGCAAUUUAUAAAAAGGACGAGAUGGGUUACAUUUAUAAAAUAGUAAUACGGACGAUUAAUUGAAACAUUAUUCUAAAGGAGGACUUGAAAGUAAAAAUAUUUAUAUAAAAAAGCUGAAUAAGGUUCUAAAACGUGC